rnacentral:lncRNA from 1 species
AUACCAUUAAUUUGAGUUUUUUCUUAUAUAAUAUAUAUUGAUGAGGAUGUACAGAGCACGUAGAGUUUUAUGGUUUAAAUUAUAUUUUCAUGAUGAUUCAUGGGGACUUUGGUAUAUGUAUAUGAAUAAAUAAAAUAUCAUUAUUUUCUUUUUUGCAUUCUACGUCAUUGGUUUUUGUUUUUUUUUCAUUGAUGUGUUCGACCAGAAGUCUUAUAAUUUGACUGUACAUUGUAAAUUAUUGACUCAGUCUUGUCUCACAUCAUCGUACAAGCUUU